UACGUAGGGGGCAAGCGUUGUCCGGAUUUAUUGGGCGUAAAGAGCGUGUAGGCGGCUGGGUAGGUCCGCUGUGAAAACUCGAGGCUCAACCUCGAGACGUCGGCGGAAACCAUCCAGCUAGAGUCCGGAAGAGGAGAGUGGAAUUCCUGGUGUAGCGGUGAAAUGCGCAGAUAUCAGGAAGAACACCCGUGGCUAAGGCGGCUCUCUAGUACGGUACUGACGCUGAGACGCGAAAGCGUGGGGAGCGAACAGG
rnacentral:rRNA from 1 species